rnacentral:rRNA from 1 species
CGAGUCCGAGUCUCCACGGAGACGAAGUGGCGGUCAUCCAGCUUCCUAGAAAAGCUCUAACCACGUUAAUCUUUAGUUGCCUGUACCCGAAACCGACACAGGUAGGGGGGUAGAGAAUACCAAGGGGCGCGAGAUAACUCUCUCUAAGGAACUCGGCAAAAUGACCCCGUAACUUCGGGAGAAGGGGUACCACUGAGAAGUGGUCGCAGUGAAGAGGCCCAGGCGACUGUUUACCAAAAACACAGGUCUCCGCCAAGUCGCAAGACGAAGUAUGGGGGCUGACGCCUGCCCAGUGCCGGAAGGUUAAGGAAGUGGGUUAGGGAUUCGUCCCGAAGCUGACGACUGAAGCCCCGGUGAACGGCGGCCGUAACUAUAACGGUCCUAAGGUAGCGAAAUUCCUUGUCGGGUAAGUUCCGACCCGCACAAAAGGCGUAACGAUCUGGGCGCUGUCUCGGAGAGAGGCUCGGCGAAAUAGGAAUGUCUGUGAAGAUACGGACUACCUGCACCUGGACAGAAAGACCCUAUGAAGCUUUACUGUAGCUUGGAAUUGGGUUCGGGCUUGGUUUGCGCAGGAUAGGUGGGAGGCGAAGAAGAUUUGCUUGUGGGUGAAUCUGAGCCAACGGUAAGAUACCACUCUAACCAGGCUAGAAUUCUAACUUCAACCCGUCAACCGGGGGAAGGACAGUUUCAGGUGGGCAGUUUGACUGGGGCGGUCGCCUCCUAAAAGACAACGGAGGCGCACAAAGGUUCCCUCAGGCUGGUUGGAAAUCAGCCGACGAGUGCAAAGGCAGAAGGGAGCUUGACUGCGAGACCUACAAGUCAAGCAGGGUGGAAACACGGUCUUAGUGAUCCGACGGCACCGAGUGGAAGGGCCGUCGCUCAACGGAUAAAAGUUACUCUAGGAUAACAGGCUGAUCUCCCCCAAGAGUUCACAUCGACGGGGAGGUUUGGCACCUCGAUGUCGGCUCAUCGCAACCUGGGGCGGAAGUACGUCCCAAGGGUUGGGCUGUUCGCCCAUUAAAGCGGUACGUGAGCUGGGUUCAGAACGUCGUGAGACAGUUCGGUCCAUAUCCGGUGUAGGCGCAAGAACAUUGAGAGGAGUCUUCCUUAGUACGAGAGGACCGGGAAGAACGCACCGCUGGUGUACCUGUUAUCGUGCCAACGGUAAACGCAGGGUAGCCAAGUGCGGAGUGGAUAACCGCUGAAAGCAUCUAAGUGGGAAGCCCACCUCAAGAUGAGUGUUCUCAUGGAGUAAUCCAGUAAGGUCACGGGAAGACGACCCGUUGAUAGGCGGUAGGUGGAAGUUCAGCAAUGGAUGAAGCCGAGCCGUACUAACAGACCGAGGGCUUGACC